GAUGAAGAACGCAUCGAAAUGCGAUAAGUAAUGUGAAUUGCAGAAUCCAGUGAAUCAUCGAAUCUUUGAACGCACAUUGCGCCCGCCAGUAUUCUGGCGGGCAUGCCUGUCCGAGCGUCAUUUCAACCAUCAAGCCCCAGGCUUGUGUUGGGGACCUGCGUCCGACGCAGGCCCUGAAAACCAGUGGCGGGCUCGCUGUCCACACCGAGCGUAGUAACUAACCUCGCUACGGGAGCGGCGCGGGCGCCUGCCGUAAAACCCCCAAUUUUCACAAGGUUGACCUCGGAUCAGGUAGGAAUACCCGCUGAACUUAAGCAUAUCAAUAAGCGGAGGA
rnacentral:misc_RNA from 1 species